GAUGAACGCUGGCGGCGUGCCUAAUACAUGCAAGUCGAGCGAACAGACGAGGAGCUUGCUCCUCUGACGUUAGCGGCGGACGGGUGAGUAACACGUGGAUAACCUACCUAUAAGACUGGAAUAACUUCGGGAAACCGGAGCUAAUACCGGAUAACAUGUUGAACCGCAUGGUUCAACAGUGAAAGACGGUCUUGCUGUCACUUAUAGAUGGAUCCGCGCCGCAUUAGCUAGUUGGUAAGGUAACGGCUUACCAAGGCAACGAUGCGUAGCCGACCUGAGAGGGUGAUCGGCCACACUGGAACUGAGACACGGUCCAGACUCCUACGGGAGGCAGCAGUAGGGAAUCUUCCGCAAUGGGCGAAAGCCUGACGGAGCAACGCCGCGUGAGUGAUGAAGGUCUUCGGAUCGUAAAACUCUGUUAUUAGGGAAGAACAAAUGUGUAAGUAACUAUGCACGUCUUGACGGUACCUAAUCAGAAAGCCACGGCUAACUACGUG
rnacentral:rRNA from 1 species